UGUGUGUGUGUUACUAAUUCGCAGUGCUGUGUGGGAGGGAGUGCGUCUGUGUAGACGGUGUGAGGGAGUGCGAGUGCGUCCACCUUUGGCGUCCAGGAAUGUUUUUGUGGCGCUGAGGGAGGAAAGUGAGAGAAGAUAUCGGCACACGGCCCGACACACAGUACCAAUAUGAGAUGCUGCACGGCGCACACUCCCCCGCUAAACCGGCGGAGAGUCAUUGCUAAUGAUACCGGGGUGUGCCACGUAACGCACGCAGGGGGAUUUCGAGCAGGAGACGGGCCAGAGUGGAAUAUUCUCAGCCCGUCUUAUCGCAGACGCAACACAAAGAGCGUCCGCGAAUCAGACGGGAGCCGCUGCCUUCCUCUUCCUCCUCCUCCUCUUAACUCAGAUGUGAGGACAUGCAGCAGGUCCCAUCUGGACUCCAUCACCAGGGGCAGGAGCUGGCACCGGAUCAAGUCGGCCUUUAAUCUCCGGCCUUAAAGAUCUUCCUCACUUUCGAGACGGACUCCCACAUCGUUAAACGCCCACGCGGUUUUGUAGGCCUUCCUGUGUCAGCACCCCUACAGCUGAGCCGCGUCUCGACUCGCAGCGCACGUAGUCCGACCCUUCGUCGUCCGGCUCGGUUCAGACUAUGGAGUCCCAGUCGAAGUCGUCCUGGAUGUCGUCGGCGGCGAGCAUGCGUCUCACCUG